rnacentral:rRNA from 1 species
AUUGAACGCUGGCGGCAGGCCUAACACAUGCAAGUCGAACGGUAGCACAGAGAGCUUGCUCUCGGGUGACGAGUGGCGGACGGGUGAGUAAUGUCUGGGAAACUGCCCGAUGGAGGGGGAUAACUACUGGAAACGGUAGCUAAUACCGCAUAACGUCGCAAGACCAAAGUGGGGGACCUUCGGGCCUCACACCAUCGGAUGUGCCCAGAUGGGAUUAGCUAGUAGGUGGGGUAAUGGCUCACCUAGGCGACGAUCCCUAGCUGGUCUGAGAGGAUGACCAGCAAGACGGGAACUGAGACACGGUCCAGACUCCUACGGGAGGCAGCAGUGGGGAAUAUUGCACAAUGGGCGCAAGCCUGAUGCAGCCAUGCCGCGUGUAUGAAGAAGGCCUUCGGGUUGUAAAGUACUUUCAGCGGGGAGGAAGGCGGUGAAGUUAAUAACUUCACCGAUUGACGUUACCCGCAGAAGAAGCACCGGCUGACUCCGUGCCAGCCGCCGCGGUAA